rnacentral:rRNA from 1 species
UACAGAGGGUGCGAGCGUUGUUCGGAAUUAUUGGGCGUAAAGGGUGCGUAGGCGGUCUUGUAAGUAGGGUGUGAAAGCCCCCGGCUCAACCGGGGAACUGCGUCCUAAACUGCGAGGCUAGAGUGAGGUAGGGGUGUGUGGAACUUCCAGUGGAGCGGUGAAAUGUGUUGAUAUUGGAAGGAACGCCGGUGGCGAAAGCGACACACUGGACCUUGUCUGACGCUGAGGCACGAAAGCCAGGGGAGCAAACGGG